AAACCGUGAUUAGGGCACUGAGUGGUGUAGCUUUUGAACCUCUCCCAGGCUUCACAGAAAGUUCUAUUGUUUUUUGUGUGAACCUGGAGAUCUCAUUCCUCAAUCU
rfam:Arabidopsis thaliana chromosome 5, complete sequence.